AAAUAAUUGAAGACCAAACAUGAGAAAAACAGACUUUUUAUUCAGAGCUUGCGGUAGCAAAGGAAUCAGCCACGAUCUCUUGUGUUUAGCAGACUCAGAGGCAGAUAGGUUUAUAGUGGGGGGAAAGGGGCAAGGUUCAGGAAUGCUCUGCUUGGAGGGUGUUGGCAUGAGGAAGCUGGAGGCUGAUCAGCUCACUGCAGGUGUCUUACAGGAUUGCUUUGGGGAACCUAUUUGGCUUUCUCUGAUUGGUCCCAUGUUGGAAGAGGGAGCAAAAUGUUGGGAUGAUGGCAGUAACUGAGCUGGAGUGCAGUGAUGUAAUCACAGCUUGCUGCAGUCUUGACCUCUUGGGCUCAAGUGAUCCUUCUGCCUCAGCCUCCCAAGUAGCUGAGACCGCAAGCACGCACCACCACACACAGCUGAUUUUUUAAACUUUUGGUCCAUUCCAAGAUGGCCGAAUAAGAACAGCUCUGGUCUGCAGCUCCCAGCGUGAUUGACGCAGAAGACGGGUGAUUUCCGCAUUUCCAACUGAGACAGCGAGAAGGCAUCCAUCUCCAAACCAAGGAGAGGGCCCUCACCGGACAUCAGAUCUACUGGUACCUUAAUCUUGGACUUUCCAGCCUCCAGAGCUGUGAGAAAUAAAUGUUUG
rnacentral:lncRNA from 1 species